CCUACGGGAGGCAGCAGUGAGGAAUAUUGGUCAAUGGCCGGAAGGCUGAACCAGCCAAGCCGCGUGAGGGAGGAAGGCGCAGAGCGUCGCAAACCUCUUUUGCCGGGGGACAAAAGGCCGGACUCGUCCGGUCCUGAGGGUACCCGGAGAAAAAGCAUCGGCUAACUCCGGGCCAGCAGCCGCGGUAAUACGGAGGCUGCGAGCGUUAUCCGGAUUCAUUGGGUUUAAAGGGUGCGCAGGGGGGUCGUUAAGCCGGCGGUUAAAGCGCGGGGCUCAACCCCGCCCAGCCGUGGGAACUGGGGACCUUGAGUGCGACGGAGGCAUGCGGAAUGCGCGGUGUAGCGGUGAAAUGCAUAGAUAUCGCGCAGAACCCCGAUUGCGAAGGCAGCGUGCCG
rnacentral:rRNA from 1 species